rnacentral:rRNA from 1 species
GACGAACGCUGGCGGCGUGCUUAACACAUGCAAGUCGAACGGAAAGGCCCUGCUUUUGUGGGGUGCUCGAGUGGCGAACGGGUGAGUAACACGUGAGUAACCUGCCCUUGACUUUGGGAUAACUUCAGGAAACUGGGGCUAAUACCGGAUAGGAGCUCCUGCUGCAUGGUGGGGGUUGGAAAGUUUCGGCGGUUGGGGCUGGACUCGCGGCUUAUCAGCUUGUUGGUGGGGUGGUGGCUUACCAAGGCUUUGACGGGUAGCCGGCCUGAGAGGGUGACCGGCCACAGUGGGACUGAGAUACGGCCCAGACUCCUACGGGAGGCAGCAGUGGGGAAUAUUGCACAAUGGGCGGAAGCCUGAUGCAGCAACGCCGCGUGCGGGAUGACGGCCUUCGGGGUGUAAACCGCUUUCGCCUGUGACGAAGCGUGAGUGACGGUAAUGGGUAAAGAAGCACCGGCUAACUACGUG